AAAAGGAUGGCUGAAUUAAAGCAUCACACUGUAAAUGUGAGUAUGAGUUUAUUUGCUCUCCUUUUA
rnacentral:tRNA from 1 species